rnacentral:rRNA from 1 species
AUUGAACGCUGGCGGCAGGCCUAACACAUGCAAGUCGAGCGGAUGAGUGGAGCUUGCUCCAUGAUUCAGCGGCGGACGGGUGAGUAAUGCCUAGGAAUCUGCCUGGUAGUGGGGGAUAACGUUUCGAAAGGAACGCUAAUACCGCAUACGUCCUACGGGAGAAAGCAGGGGACCUUCGGGCCUUGCGCUAUCAGAUGAGCCUAGGUCGGAUUAGCUAGUUGGUGAGGUAAAGGCUCACCAAGGCGACGAUCCGUAACUGGUCUGAGAGGAUGAUCAGUCACACUGGAAGUGAGACACGGUCCAGACUCCUACGGGAGGCAGCAGUGGGGAAUAUUGGACAAUGGGCGAAAGCCUGAUCCAGCCAUGCCGCGUGUGUGAAGAAGGUCUUCGGAUUGUAAAGCACUUUAAGUUGGGAGGAAGGGCAGUAAGUUAAUACCUUGCUGUUUUGACGUUACCGACAGAAUAAGCACCGGCUAACUUCGUGCCAGCCGCCGCCGUAAUAC